UACAGAGGUCUCAAGCGUUGUUCGGAUUCAUUGGGCGUAAAGGGUGCGUAGGUGGCGCUGUAAGUCGGGUGUGAAAUUUCGGAGCUUAACUCCGAAACUGCAUUCGAUACUGCGGUGCUUGAGGACUGGAGAGGAGACUGGAAUUUAUGGUGUAGCAGUGAAAUGCGUAGAGAUCGUAAGGAAGACCAGUGGCGAAGGCGGGUCUCUGGACAGUUCCUGACGCUGAGGCACGAAGGCCAGGGGAGCAAACGGG
rnacentral:rRNA from 1 species